rnacentral:tRNA from 1 species
GUUAUUUUGGCAGAAUAGUGUAUUAAAUUUAGAAUUUAAAAAUGUAAUUGAUUACAAAUAAUAC